UAUGGCAGAAGUAUAUGCAAUGAACUUAAGAUUCAUUUAUAAAGAUUUUUCUUUUAUUAGAA
rnacentral:tRNA from 1 species